rnacentral:rRNA from 1 species
AGAGCGAACGCUGGCGGCAGGCCUAACACAUGCAAGUCGAGCGGCCGUAGCAAUACGGCAGCGGCAGACGGGAGAGUAACACGUGGGAACGCGCCCUUCGGUUCGGAAUAACUCAGGGAAACUUGGGCUAAUACCGGAUACGCCCUUACGGGGAAAGAUUUAUUGCCGAAGGAACGGCCCGCGUCCGAUUAGCUCGUUGGCGGGGUAACGGCCCACCAAGGCGGCGAUGCCUACCGGGCGUGCGAGCGUGGCCCGGCACACUGGGACUGAGACACUGCCCAGACUCCUACGGGAGGCUGCAGUCGAGAAUCUUCGGCAAUGGGCGCAAGCCUGACCGAGCGACGCCGCGUGGAGGACGAAGGCCUUCGGGUUGUAAACUCCUGUCGAGGGGGAAGAAGGGCCUCACGGCCUUGACUGAUCCCUGGAGGAAGCGACGGGCUAAGUUCGCGCCAGCAGCCGC